CGGCAAACAAAGGUUCAAAUAUCCUCCAAAGCACUUCAAGCCCUCAAAGAAUGCAACUCAAAACGCAGAUGAGGUAAAAGAAGAAACUUCUAAAUUAAAGUGGAGCGACCCAGGGACAAGUCUGGUUUGGGUUAAAGAUUAUGGAUGGUUAACUUUGUGUAACGUGUUUGGAAAAGCAAGUUUAGGUUUUAGGCAAGCGACUUCAGGUAUUAGGCAAGCGAGUACAGGCAAGAGAGUCAAGCUAAGCGAGUUUAGGUUUUAUGCAAGCGAGUACAGGUUUUAUGCAAGCGAGUACAGGCAAGCGAGUUUAGGCAAGCGAGUUUAGGCAAGCGAGUUUAGGCAAGCGAGUUUAGGCAAGCGAGUUUAGGCAAGCGAGUUUAGGCAAGCGAGUUUAGGUAUUAGGCAAGCGAGUUUAGGCAAGCAAGUUCAGGUAUUAGGCAAGCGACGCGAGUUUAGCCAAGCAAGUUCAGGUUUUAUGCAAACGAGUUUAGGUUUUAUGCAGGCGAGUUUAGACAAGCGAGUUUAGGCAAGCAAGUUUAGGUAAGAGAGUCAAGUUACUUUAGGCCUCACUUUAUUUGCGGUUAAAUUGCGGCAUUAGGUUUAGAAAGAAGGUUAAGAUCCAGGCUCAGGUUUGCUUCCAGCCUCGUCCCUCUAGUCGCUCCCUAUAAAGAGGGUUCCCAGCUACCGUGUUAAAAUACAACAGCUGGGAUUACAGAUAUGGAGCACAGAAAUAAAUGAAAAAGAUUGAUUCAAACAUUCCCCCAAAAUGUGGUGAAACAUAAAAUGGAGAAAAUAAUUACUUUCUCUCCAUUGAAACCCAGUCAUAAUUUACGAUCGCAAAUGGCGGACUUACGAGCUCUAUAGAGUGUGCACUGUGUGAUGAUGUUGGGUGUGGAUUAAUGUGCUGGUGUAGCCAUCCAGGGAUCCUCAGGGUUUAUGGGAGUAG
ensembl:lncRNA